rnacentral:rRNA from 1 species
UACGAAGGGGGCUAGCGUUGCUCGGAAUCACUGGGCGUAAAGGGUGCGUAGGCGGGUUUUUAAGUCAGGGGUGAAAUCCUGGAGCUCAACUCCAGAACUGCCUUUGAUACUGAAGAUCUUGAGUCCGGGAGAGGUGAGUGGAACUGCGAGUGUAGAGGUGAAAUUCGUAGAUAUUCGCAAGAACACCAGUGGCGAAGGCGGCUCACUGGCCCGGUACUGACGCUGAGGAGCGAAAGCGUGGGGAGCGAUCCGG